rnacentral:rRNA from 1 species
GAGUUUGAUCAUGGCUCAGAUUGAACGCUGGCGGAAUGCUUUACACAUGCAAGUCGAGCGGCAGCGCGGGGCAACCUGGCGGCGAGCGGCGAACGGGUGAGUAAUGCAUCGGAACAUGUCCAUGUCGUGGGGGAUAGCCCGGCGAAAGCCGGAUUAAUACCGCAUACGCCCGAGAGGGGAAAGUGGGGGACCGCAAGGCCUCGACGCGGAUUGGGUUGGCCGAUGUCCGAUUAGCUAGUUGGCGGGGUAAAGGCCCACCAAGGCGAUGAUCGGUAGCUGGUCUGAGAGGAUGAUCAGCCACACUGGGACUGAGACACGGCCCAGACUCCUACGGGAGGCAGCAGUGGGGAAUUUUGGACAAUGGGGGCAACCCUGAUCCAGCCAUUCCGCGUGAGUGAAGAA